UUUGGCACUAGCACUAUUUUUGCU
rnacentral:miRNA from 1 species